rnacentral:rRNA from 1 species
AGUAAAUAGAUACCCUGGUAGUCCUAGCCGUAAACGAUACUCGCUAGGUGUCGGCCACGGUGCGACCGUUGUCGGUGCCGUAGGGAAAGCCGUGAAGCGAGCCACCUGGGAAGUACGGCCGCAAGGCUGAAACUUAAAGGAAUUGGCGGGGGAGCACCACAACGGGUGGAGCUUGCGGUUUAAUUGGAUUCAACGCCGGAAAUCUUACCGGGACCGACAGCAAUAUGAAGGCCAGGCUGAAGACUUUGCCGGAUUAGCUGAGAGGUGGUGCAUGGCCGUCGUCAGUUCGUACUGUGAAAGCAUCCUGUUAAGUCAGGCAACGAGCGAGACCCACGCCCACAGUUGCCAGCGUACUCUCUGGAGUGACGGAUACACUGUGGGGACCGCCGCUGCUAAAGCGGAGGAAGGAAUGGGCAACGGUAGGUCAGUAUGCCCCGAAUAUCCCGGGCUACACGCGAGCUACAAUGGUUGGUACAAUGGGUAUCUACCCCGAAAGGGGACGGGAAUCUCCUAAAACCAAUCUUAGUUCGGAUUGAGGGCUGCAACUCGCCCUC